CUUUCCUGGACCUUCGUCUCUCCCUUUCGCUGUCUUCGUUCCGUGUGCAAAGCAGCCUCGCAUGAGAGCGCGGCACAAUGGAGGUAUUAAAUGGAUGUAAGGUAGUGGGUAAAAGCGCGGCGCUCUGACCAGAAACGUAUAUACGCGAGUAUCUCGGGCAACGCGUCACGAAAAUGAAAGUGCUUCGCAAAUAUUGGUUGCCGUCGACCUUACUGCGGUCUCGAGAGGAGAGAGAGAGCCGGGAGAAAGGAAGCGGGAGAAAAAAACCAAAUCCUGUGUACAUAUUAGGCGCGCCGGUCUCGAGCACUUUUCAGAGAGCUUUCUUCCCUUCGGCGGACCCGUCUGACCGCUCGAGCGAGAGACCGCAGAGAUGCAUUUCGGGAGACAGGUGCGACGCUUCGGAAAACGGCAUGCUGCACCGCGGAAAAGCAAAAGCCGGCUGCGGCAAUCGGUUACCUGACUCGGCUCAGAACAUUAACAAACAGACAUUUCGAUACAUCUAUCAAGCUGUCAUAAUAAGUUUGUGUGAUCCAAGAAGAGUCUCCUGAUGAAGAAAAAGUCAUAAUUUCACAAUCACCAUUUCGACUUUGUAUAGGCAUUAUGGAUGAAAUCCUUCGCAUCUCUUAUGAGCAGCAGCGGUACCUGUCGGCAUCCCCUUUCGAGAGGACCCACUAAUCGCCGAACCGUUUGAAGAUGGAUGUAUGACCAUUCAAGAGGAGCAGGUGUAGGAUUUUCGAGCAGCGUUUUGAAUUUGCUGAAAACUCGCGGACAGUGGCGUAGGUUGAAUUUGAACGGGAAUGAUUGCGCGUGAAGGGGAUGAUCAUGCUCGAGAAGCCUCGCGGCUAGAUGAUUAAAUGAAAUUUGCUAGCUCAAUCAUAUAUGCUAGCUGAAUCGCGUAUGUAUUAUGCAAAAGCGAUGAACAUGGAGAAUGCUUUUGACAUAAUUCGAGAUACCUCGCACACGAUAAGAAUUUCUCUCGUAACGUCUCGUACAAACGGUUUUGUUACAAGCUGACUGUAGAUAGCUCGAUAGAUUAUUGUUAUCCCACUCGUCGGUAAGUCACUGAUCCUACGAAACGAUCUACUCGGAACGGAUUAUCGUAUGUUAAUAAGCCCCGGGAACCCGAAAGCCCGGCUACGCCUAAUUUGCGAGGUAAUCGCGAUCUUUACUCGCACAAUACGAAAUUCUCAACGGUCAUCGAUCAUCAUUAUUUAUCGCCGUUCGCCAAAUUCGUAUCGCGCGCACGUACGCACGUCGACGCUCCGCUACGUGCGCGAGUGCGUGUGAGUCGACGACGAGCGCGUACACGCACUCUCACGCCACGCCGGGCCCAAUCCAUUUCGCUUCAUUACGGCGCUCCUCUCGCGAGAAGCCGAGGCUCUUCUUCCUGACCCUGCCUUGAACUAUGAUUGGACACGUUACAUCGAUCCUCGUCGAUCCUCGUCGAUCCUGAUCCGAGGCGUCUCGCGCUCGCGCGCGUAAACGCUUCGCCGGGCCUCUUCUCACCUUCGUCAAUCGCGCCUGACGAUAUCGCCUCGUAUCGGCCCGUGGCCUUUCCGCGGGCAAAAUAGAAGAAUACAAGAGAAGACGGGAUGAGACGCGCACGUCGGUCGGUUGGUCGGUUGGUCGGUAGAUCGGUCGGUCGAUCGAUCGAUCGACCCAACCGCUAUUCGACCAAGCAGUUGUACGAGCACGCCUCGGCACCUGCGGACUUGCGCGCGAGAGAAACGCUUCGCAGUGCGCUACCCGCGAUGCCCGAAGGAUCCAUUAGCCAUUAGCCGACGUUCAAGCCCGUCAACUUGUCAACGGCGGAACAAUGCGACCGCGAGAAUAGAAAUCGAUUUUUACGCUUCCCUUCUAUGAUGCCAUCGUUUCUCGACUUGCCUCGCGCUAUUCUCCUCGCGGCCGUGCGUCAUCGGGUCGCGAACUCCGCCACGCACGCAUGUUACGUAAGCGAUCUCCUAUCAAUACCCGCGAUUCCGAUGUCGAUUAACGUUAGCUCCCCGCGAAUUCUCAACCAAGGUUUACGUAAGAAGAGAUUUCCUUUCCUUUCCUGUCGCGUGAAAUAAAUACGAUCAUUUACGUAAGAAACGAAGCGCGAGGGGAUACUGACAGGUAAUAAUCCACGAUACCAAUCGUGCGACAUUAAUAAACUCGAAUGAACGCAAAGUGGGGACGAAAUAUAUUUUUUCUACGAGCUACGCUGCUGAUUUCGUUCCGGCAUUGGGAACUGGUGAUGUGCAGGCCCCGAGACAAUGGUUCCUGCCGUCAUCCUUCAUUGUUUCGGCUGCGUCUGGAAUCUUAAGAGACUACCCCAUUAUUAUACAUCCAUCCAGAGGGACCCUACUCGCUUUUCCCCCCUGUAAUCCCCGAAAUAAAGCGGCGGAGGCACCAGACACCUGCGUGAAAUCGGAUGAUAUUUAGAGACGCACUUGCGCCAAGCAACUGAUCAACUUUUAUGAGCUUUCCAAGUCCCGAGCAUUAUUUAUUUUACAGAACAUAAAAUAUUAUGUAAUAUAUACGAUGUGUUUUAACGCAAGUAUGCACUUCGUAUCCAAUAUCCAAUAUACAUAUAUAUAAAUGUCAACAAACUGUAAUUAACUUCUCCAUUACAAUAUUGGAUAUAAUUAACAUAUUUUUCUUCUUAAUUUGUAAUGAGCAAUUUAUAAUAUUAUUAUUAUUUAGCAUUACCGAGUUCUGGAUAAUACAUGAAAAGAGAAAAAGAAAGAGGAAACUUCUGGCGUCAUGGAAGAUUACAGUAAUUCUCGCAACUAUUAAGUCGGCCGUUUCAUUUUAUUUAUCCAUUAAUGGCUGCUGAUCUUUCUUACGAAACACGCACGUCGAACACGUGUAGCUGGAAUCGCUCGUCCCAGCUGUGACUCGCGCGACUCGGUGUCACGAAUCGGGCCUCGUCGCUUCCUGUAUCUCUCGAGUGAGCCUAAACGCCGUGCGGACGAGCGUACGUGCUUACGUUACAUCAUUACGCAUUUGAAUGCUCGAGAAAUUAUGCCGCGAGCACAUGGGCACCAAGCAUCCAGCGUAGUCACGGCGUUCAUGGCACCGACAUGGCGCGCAUUCGUGCGCGCAAACCAGCCUCGAUCUCCGGGAUCUCUUUCACGGCUCUUGGAUCUGUCGGACACCGGCGCUUUCCAAGAGAAUCAAAGAUUCCUGGAUGCAUCCUGGUGCGGGAUAUGUGUGCGGGCGGCAUAAUUCCGAGUGCAACCGCGCCGAUGGGCAGACAGCAUAAAAUGACUUCGACUACCAUAGAUGUAUCCCGCAUUACACAGGAACGAAGGUGCGCGUACCAUCCCUAUUCCACUUUCCUCUCCCUUUCUCUUUUCAUUCGUUUCUGUCCACGCACGAACAUCACGCAUGUCCUAAACCACACGUGCAAGCGCGCACACACGCACAUAACACGCGCGGAUAACCGAUACGCGUUUGUAGUUGUAUCCAUCGUCGAGCCAAGAAAAAGAGAGACAGAAAGGAAUACAAUGGCAAAUGGUAUUCUAUUAUUCCAGAUGGGUCCCGCGAGCAUCUCUCCUUCGUUGCUCACGGGGUCCGAGGAAUGCAGGCAUGAAAUCAUUCUCCAAUAUCUCACCGUAGGACUACCCUCUCCCUUCGUCUCCCCGCGUCUGAUGGUCUCUCCGACCAUCGCCCGUAACCCAAAAGUAAACCCUAACCACCCGGCAUCCCCCGCGUCGCGCGAUACGCCCCUGUCUGCGCACCGGUCAUUCAUCACUCUCGUCUAAUAAUCCUCUUUGCUCGCCGAGGUAACAUUAAUUGUGGCACGAGAUGCAUCGCGCUGAAUGCGACGCGGACGCGCCCCGAACGAUGAUGAUCGAUAUCCCCCUCUUGCUUUUUUUCCCGCGGUUUUCACUUUAGCCCUGAUUAUGGUGGCUCGAUCGUUAUGUUGCUCUUGUCGUCCGUAGCGAUCACGUUUAACACUGAAUGGCGCUCGUCCGAGCCCUUGAACGGUCACUUUUACACUCGACAGUUUUAACGCCGCAUGGAGGAGUUUGAUAAAUUACGCCGAGUCGAGGCAGCGAGUAAACUUUCAGCCUAUCAACUUACGAUAAACAAUGAAUGAUGGUUACCGCGUUCUUUCGAAUUUACCAAAAUUUUUAAUGUACAAGUGCUGAUUAACUUGACCUACUUGUAAUUUGUUAAACUGCAGCAUUGCUUCACGGAUAUAUCAGGUAGUUCCACUUCGCGCGAAAUUAUCGGUACUCGACAAAUUAAGAUCGGUUUUGUUCCGUAAAGAAAUAAAUUUGGAACACAAGUGAAUAUUUGGCCGUCGGUGUCGGUAUUUUUGCCGUAUUUGAGAAUUAUGAUAGUCUGCCCCCGUGUAGAAAAAUUAAUAGGGUCUUAAAAAGUCCCGAUUAAUUUCCUCAAUAUUAAUAUGGCCCUAAAAUGGCAUGUAACAAAUAUUUUUUCGGGACCUUAUAAGGAAAUAAUAAAAAAUAUUGUUUUAAUCAUCUGUCCUAUCGGGCCACGAUGUGGCAAUGAUAGGGCAUCCCUUUUUAGGACAUCCCUAGUUAUUCCUUAUAGGGACCUUUACUUUCUUAUCAGGCCCUAACAAUUAUCUGCACGGGCCUUUUUAGGAAACGUCGCGCGGUUGGUGGUUUAUAUUUGAGAUCUUUCCUCGCUCUUUCCAUUUCUUUUGUUCGUGUCGUAAUUCGGAGGGAAUAAGAAAUUGCGGGCAAUGAUUCGGAACAGAAUCUAUUCCAAUUUCUGCGCCAACGUUUUUCCGCGAUCCAUCGUUUGUUUCCUCCGUUAUUCCCAACCCGAGAAACGUUCGCUCUCUGUAACGAAUGUUCAUCGCGCGUGGGGUGUGGAUUCGAUUUCCAUUAUUUCCGCGCCCUUCUGAAGUUUCCCAAAAAGAAACAGCGGAAAUUAAAAUGUUGCCGAUAUUACCAGGAAUUCCAACUAUCCCUUCAUUAUCACCCGUAUUUAUUCUAUGACGGGCAGGAAAUACGGGAACGCACACGGCAGAACAAUUUCUGCCUCUCGAGCCGUCCCUUCAAAAUAAAUUAUUAUUGCAAGGGGGAGUCUCGUUACGCAAACUCGCGUGAAAGAAACGUCAUCUCCGCGUUACGGAAAAUUGACAAUUUUUGUACGCGCACGUGAUUCAAUUUUCUUUUUACGAAUUCCAAUCAACACAAUCUAUCCUGAUCUAUUUUCGCAUACAUCCUUCGCGCGCGUGUAUUGCAUGACGUAAUAUGAUCCCGCCGAUAUCCAUACUCGCGUGAAUUCGACGCUCCAUUUGUUUACGGCCGAGCAUUCGAUUCUAUCCCGCCGUGGUACGUGAACGCGGAAUAUUAUUCCGUGCGCGUGACAGGUGCACAUCACACACGCGUUACGGAAGAGGCUCUCUUUCGCACGAGUCCCGAGCAGGAGCAGGCUCUACGCGCAAUUCCACCUGCUGCAAACGGCGGUUACGAGUCGCGUCUCGAGAAGCGCAAAUUUGCAGAUCGAUAUCCGAGAUGUUUAUCUUGACGUUUCCUACUAUCGAAAGAACUACUAAUAUUACUUUAAUAUUACUUUAGAGAGUAUUUUUCUUAGCUCCUUUGUAUUAUAGUAAAAUAAUUUAUAAUUCUUUAAUUAUUUUUCGUGUACAUUUCGACGGGGCGGCGGGAAUGUAUUAGUAGCUCUGAUGUAUUUCCUCGUUAUCCAUCAUAGAAUUUGUUCCGUCUUGUUUCGGAAUAUACGUUUCGGUGCUCACAAGGACCCUUUAUAAUAUCACUGCACGCCUCGUUUAAUACCAGGCACACGCGUUGCGUGAAGACAACGACUUCACGACGAUAAAUUAAACCAUAUGCGGCUUGGAAAUUGUAAUAGUGCAAGCCGCUUGUGACUAGGGCGCGCGACCCCUAUGGAAUGGCCCUCGUAUUUUGGAUGUUUGUUCGUGCGACGAGGAGGAGCAUACGGGCUGCUCGCCUAUUGUACUUCCGCGGACUUCAAUAUGAUUUAUUUCGACUACGUGUUCAAGUCGCACAUAAAUUUUUCUUUGACUAGUAACGAUUGCACUGACGUUAGCACGCGAUAGAAGCUGCCAAAAUCAAUUUAGACGUUAAAUAUUCAAAGCACAAUUUCACAUCAGCAAAUAGAAUGUUUUAUUCUUUUCUUGAAAAAAUACAUUUCACAUAUUCAUGCAAGAUAUUUUAACGUUUUAAAAAUUUUUCUUGGAAAGAAGAGAUCUGACGAAAAUGUAAAUAUUCGCCACAUCGCGUCUCUCCUAACAGUGUACUUUGCUCGGAAAUUUACUCUUUUAGCAAGAGUAUUAAACGAGGUCAGAGUUGAAAUAUACAUAUCCUUUUGAAAUUCGCUUUUCUGGCUAAUAAUAUUUUAACGAUGAAAGGCUUGAUAAAGAAGAAUUAACGUUCCUAUACACACAAGACAGCUCGUCGCGUAUCCACAUAGAAAAAAGGAUGGACUAUUUCGUAUUUUCAUUCUCACGUAAAAUCGUCAGAGAAUUUCAGAGAAUUAGCGCAUACGAUCGAUUCGUAGAAAGAUUCGAUUUCACAGAUAGUAAUCGGGAAUUCACACGCUCGCCCCGUGCUCAUGAUUUCAUAAAGAGCAACGAGUACGUACGGAGUUUAAUGUCACCAUCACCAUGACAUUCUUUUCACUCUUUACACGUACGUUCGCGACACGACUGCACGAUUGUACACACACUACUACGCGACUUAGCCUUAAUUAGCUUAGUCCGGCUUAAUGCACCGAGAUGCCCGAGCCUUUGUCUCUCUCUCAUGUACGUAUCUCUCUCGGUACACGCAUGCAUGGCCCGUACACGCGCGCAUGUACGUGUGCACCUAUCUACUGGCGCCGUAGUGGUGGCGUAAUGCUGCAUCGGCGGGCGUGUUGAACGUCGAACACUUUCGCCGACGUGGCGGCGUAUAUCGGUUAAUGCUUCGAUUUAUUGGCCGGCACUUAGCCCCCGCUGCUCCAGAUUCCUCGGUCAGAUCGGAUCGGAUCGGAUCGACGCGCGAUAUGAAUUAGUCUCGCGCGUUGAUCGCGAGCGCGAGUGCGCUCGAUCGCGGAUUAUUUCGCUCUUUAAUCGAGCCGCCGAUCGGCAAAGCUGUCUCGGUGUGCCCUCGGUCUCGCUGCGAAUCAACUCGUCGGGAAAUCCUUCGCCGUCCUCGAUAAAUACAUCGGUAUUUCGAUCGGUGACGUCGGAUUGCGCAUUAAGCCGAUGAGCUGUUCGCGAUAAAUCAUUUUCGCGAAGCAAUUAGCGGCGGAUCUGUUAUUACGUACUCGAGCGUUCCUAUGCCAGAUGCUCGAGGCAUAUGUGUCCCGACACGAGUUCGUCCCGGAGGAACGCAAUUUUCGAGCAACGAUUUCGACGUCGUAAAAGACACCGUACGUCACCUAAAAGCGCGUAGAACACCAACUGUCGGGCUUCCGCUUUUACCGGGCUAACACGUUUAUACGAGCGGAAUAGAGUCCUCUAUUUCUGACGCGACGUUUAAUCGUAACUGCAAUAAACCUGCCUAGACUCGUCGAAGAUGUUUUGUCAACGUUCCCUGACUUGCACUUUAUAAUUUAAUCAAUUUAGCGGUUUAUUUCAUAAGCGUAAAAAAAAGAAUUUCAAGGACGCGUCUAACAAAUCUAGAAAGUGGCGCUUUCGCGCAAUUAAGAUCCUUCUCGAUUCGAGACACGAUACACGAGGUAUACCGGUUAAAUCCGCGUGACCGAUGUGGUCUCGUUCUCCACGGGAACUUUAACGAGCGGUAAAAUUUCCUCAAGACCGCGUUAUAACUUGUAUACACGCUCGCGUUCUGUAAUCAUUACGGGCUAUCUCUGAGCAUUGCGCAAUUGCAAUCGCGUUGUGUAUUUGGUACAUGUAAAAUAGACGCAUUAAAACUGUUACACGCGAAUAUGGCUCCCCAUGAAUUUUACAUUGCUGACAGAAUGUUGAAAUUGGAGUCCAUUGUCUCGUGAAUUCUUUCGUGACGUUUACGACACGACGCCAAGCGGCGAGGGAGGAACCGGUUGCUUCCGCGACUGAUUUUUCGAGCUACGUUUACGAUGAAAUAAUGCGAGUCAUUUCGCGGACCACAGGCAAUCGCGUUCGAGUGACGUUAAAGGCGCUCCGAAACGAGACCCGGAUGAGAGACCCUCGCGUCUCGACCUUGCUCGUUACGUUGUGGCACGACGUCCAUCCAGUUAACGUUUGAAGAAGAGAGAGGGGACGCGCGGGGAGUCCGGGCAGCAGGGCGGUGCGCUUAAAUGUGGCGCUUGAUUGUCGCUCUUAAUGCCAAUAGGAAAUGACUCACUCCUUAACGCCGCAAUGAUAUCACUCUCCGCCCCGCGGUGUCGUGCGACCGAGAGCGAGCGAGCGCGCGCUGCAAGAUCAUGAUCCAAUCUAUACAGCAGAGGAUAGGAUUGCGAUCUGGGCCCCGCUCGUUAGAUUUACGAUGCUCUGGAGACACUGGAGGCAAGCAGAAGUACAGCGAGAAAGCGUGUCCCCGAAGAUCGCGGCUAUGUCGCAACGAGAUGAUGAGGUAAGAGAGCGAUUCCGGAGCAAAAGCGGUCGUAAAGGAACGCGGGAGGUGGCGCAGGAGAAGGAGAAGAAGGAAAGAACGAAAAGGAAGAAGUGGAUCUACAUAAGAGAUCAUGACUCGGGCGCACUAGUCGAGUUUCGCCGCGCGGAGAGCCAGAGAGGAGAAAGUUACCAGGAACUGCCUGAAUCUGCCCGAUUGGCAGCCUCCUUGCGCUCCUUUUCCACGGACUGGAGGUAUUGUAGUCACGAACGUGCAACCAUAGCAGCAACAAUAACCUCCCCCUCCCGGCGCACAACGAGCCUUUGUUCGCUCCUUCUCGCGGUGUGCGGGUGGUUUGUUCUACUCGCUCGAUACUUGCUCGGUACUUGCUGUAUUUUCAAUCCUCAUGAUUAUUUUAUUUUUGCUCUUCUUGGCGCGUACCGCGCGCGAAAUCCUUUUCUAGAAACUUCAUAAAAAUAUCAGUAUAAGCAUAUACAUCCGAGUAUGUACAUUUUAUCGAGCGCCUCCGAAUGACUCACGGAUAAUAAAAUAUCAAGAUAAAAUCAAUUUUUAAUAAUGUAGUGGAUAUCUUUUUCCGCGCCAGUUACCAUGAAAAUAUUUUAUUACACAUCAUUAAAAAUUCUCCAUGAAAAAAUUCUUUAUUUAAUUACAAUAUUAUAUAUUAUAUUAUUUUUAAUAUCAUAGAGAAAUUCAUUUUUCUUUGUUUGGCGAAAUAUAAAGACCCUCCGAUCUGUAUAUCGAAAUAUAACGUAGCGAAAUUUGAUUUUGAUUCAGUGUGAGUGUACAUUUACGUCAUCUUGUCAAUGCGAUUGCAUUAUUUUGCUCCGCUCUGACCUCUGACACAGUUUGAACUGCACUACGGCUUUAGUUCCUUGCCAUUAGUCGCAAUUAGUCCUCGCGAUGAAUUUUCUAUGAGCAAAUAAUCAGGCGCGCUUGUACACGUAACUCAGAGACGUCAUCGGGACAAUUAUAGUUUCAUGAUCGAGAAUCGACGAUGAUCGUCGAGUCCAAUGACCCGUUGAAACGACGAGAAGACUCGAUUACUGUUGAGAGUUUUCGAAACCGGCGGUCUAUUCUUAUGCUGAUUGUUGCUACCGAUUCCGAAGCGCCUAAUCGGCGGAUCGAACCGCGAUUCGUGGUGCUUUGGUUAAUGAACUACAGUCAUGUUACAAUCAAAUGCAAAUUGUCUUAAUUAAUGGCGAUCCACGAUUCAACCGUGACUCGUAACUGCGUUCGAGCAGCCGAUUGCUCUAUGAUUCGUUGGAUCAGAUACCAUUGCGAAAUUUUUCUAAUCGUUUCUGUUCCUGGGUUAAGAAUUAAAUAUCGAAUGCCAUGACGCACACAUGCGAAAAACAUGUCUCAUGCACACACUAAUCUCAAUCUUAAAACAAACUUGCUUUUGACCGAGUCGAGGAAAGUUAUCGUGAUCCAAUUUCCGCGGCCCGGAUUCCACACUGGAGAUUCGUUUCUUACGACUGUUCGCGUGUAACAAUAUCGAUAAUUAAUCGGUAAUGUCAUUUCGCCGAUUGUAAGUAACGCCUACUGUGCGGGAAAUGCGGGCCCGAUCGGACAGUUAUUAAUAAUUACACUUUCGAGACCAGUCAGAUCGGCAGAUACGUCCGGACGUACGGCUGAUUUGUCAAUACGCGGCGAGUAAUGCGUUUCGCCGCCGCAUGACCGAAGCCUGAUUACGAUAUUUGUUCGCCUGCGAACCAAUAAUGCCCACGCGAUAACGAGACGUUGAUUAUAUUGUUGUAUACGUCGGGCCUGAUUGACGUUACGUUAUCAUUGUAUGCAUCAAUACAGCAAAUUUAAUUUAACACAGACAUUACGUAUGUAACGUAAUAUUGUCUAGAUAUAAGGUGUCUUCUCGAUCUCAAUUUUGAGACCAAUCUUUUUUCUAAUUAAAAUCGAGCCACAAUUUAAGACGUAGCGUUCGCAAAUGGAAGAUUACAUUUUUCCGCACUCUAAGAUAUAAAAUUUUAUCUCGUUUUCCUUGGCGAAUAUCCUGCAUUAACAGUAGCGUAACUACGCGCGUGCAAGUGGUUAAUGUAACAAUAAAAAAUCGCGGGACAACUUGUUAAGGGAUACGCCUACGUUGUAGAAAACACUUGCGCCAAGAAUUCCACUUUCGCUGUCAGGCAGAUCAGGGGAUACACCGAGAUGUUAAUACAAUUGGUUUAUGCGUGUUGGUUAAAGCCGGGUGUGUAGUAGCCGAGAAAGCCAUAACUUCGAUAUUUAUAUUACGCUAGUGCGACCUAUAAUACUGCGACCAGAUAACCGGACUACACUCGAAACCAGUAAAGACGACGAGGACAGCCGAGAGCAUUUAAUAUAUCGUACGCUACUGUUGGAUUACUCCUUUUGGUACGACGCCGUAAAUUCUCGAAACUCUUUGGUAGUAAAGUAGAAAGCAGAACUAUCGCGUUUCCUCUCAACUAUAAAUUCUACACGACGAAUUAAAAAGGAUUCCUUCAACAUUGGGGCGUCAGAAAUUAUGAGCAUUUCGAGAUUAAAGAGCGCAACGAGUAAAAAGAUAAGAGCAGAUAAAACGAUCUUGCAUAAUGUAAACCGGGGACUUUCGCGCGCGAAUCGCUCCCCAAUUCGAGGUUUAGACAUCAAUAUAUUUAAUGCUGAAAAUUGAUUGAAACUCAAUGUUCGUAAUUGCUGUCUGUUAUUAAUUGUGCACGCGACAGUUAUUAAUUAUUAGGAUGUACCGAUGUGCACGCAUCGUUUAUCAGCACAUGACGAUUAAUUUGCCAUGCUGCAUGUAUACAUUUGAUACACGGUUUCUGCCAAUGUAAACUCGUAAUACUCUUAAAUGAUUGCCAGAUGCGCCGUUCGUCGUACUGGUAUUCAAUGGAACUUUAAGUACAUGCCUACGUAACACGUGAUGCGUUGCCGCAGGAUUAUCACAUCCGGCGACAUGUGAGCACCAACAUGGUUCCGAAAAGAAUGCGUUAAUCUGUUCAUGAUCAAAUAUUUACAUUAUCCGUAACUAUGCCACGAGCAGUAACUGAAGCAACAAAAAUUAAACGCAGAAUAACAUAAACGCACAAUCACAUAAAUUAAUUUGCUUAACCGUCGGAGUUACGUCAGAUGGAGAGUAUUCCAUUUAGCAAGCAAGUAUAGCAGAACAAACAUAAAUGGUUCGAAAGUAUUUCCAAGCUUUUCCAUGACAGUACGUUACGAGGCAGAUGGGAUAUCCUGCCAUGUGCUGGAUCUACGUCGACUCGUUCAGCGAUCACGAUUUUGAUCGUUUCAUCCAUUGUUACGUGGCCAGGUAUUAACCGGCGGCGUGCGUGCGUGUACAAGAUUAGUCAUUGAUUUCAAACAGUUAAACCUAUGGUUACGGGCGCCCGCACGACACGAAGAUUCCACGGCAUUGGGUUUAACUGUGAUUCGCGUAAUGACAUUUGAACGAGCUAGCGCGCGCUCUCGGCUAAAUCGCAUCUUCCGUUCCAGCGAAAGCUUACUCCGGCACUUACUUUUCUUCCACCUGAAAUGAUAUAAUAAUACGGCUGUCUGUCAAUACGCGAAACGUGUCCGUCGUGAAUCGCCGCUCCUUUCCCGCGUGCGACGUAACCCGCGCCGAACGAGCGAGCGGGUGGCACACCUAUUCGACGUAAGGACUCGCCUUCGCAUGGACACCUAGUCGAUAAUUACAUGUCUGCUUUUAAUAAUUCAGAUCGAUUUGACCUCGAACGUUCUCUCGUUCGUGGUAUUUCCAUUCUUUCGCACAUGGACGUUUUUCUGCUUCAAAUUAUCCCCUAUUCUUUCCUGGAGCUAUUCUGCAUCUUGUGUAUUCUUUUCUCUUGGAAUUUUUAAAAACCCGCUCAAGAUUUGGAGAGAGAUAAUUAUACUCGUAGUGUUCGCAUCGCAUCAUUUUUCAGCGAAUGUUGCACACGCACGGCGCACGCAUGAAGUGAACGCGGCUUGUUAGAGUCUUGAGAGACAUUAACCGUUUGCAGAUCAAGCGUUGCGAUCUUUAUUCAAUGCUUUAAUUAGAUUGAGUUAUUUCGCAACACGCAAUCGUAGCGUCGGUGGCGUCUCUGGUCCGAGACGAUCGCGCGAUACGCGCGAGUCGACGUCGGGAGAUCGCCGAGCCAGAAAAGAACGACUUUGUGCCACUGAUAUAAGAGAUAGGAGCAGCUUUGUCUCUGAUCGCUCGGGGUAACCCACGUGUCCCUUCCCACGUAGUCCACGAUCGUGGAUAAUUGUCAGUUUAACUAUCGCCUGCGCGCUCGGCUGUAUACACACGUUUCCGACGUCGGAAUAUCUUUUCACGCUCGUGCGUCGUGCGGCACGCAUGCAAUUAGAAAUUUCCUUUCACUGGCUCGUUGACACUAAUCACGCGGGCGUCUCCGUCCUUCCCUCCGUGUUUUUCUGCAUCCUUCUCUCUUUUUAUACCUUUCGUUCCUUCUGUCUCGCUCCCACACACCCGCGCUCGAUGGACACCGGUUGUCCGUUCCGUGCUUGUGUGUACGCGCGUACGUACGCAUGACAGAAACCGAUUGCUUUAACGAUCGCCGCUAAAUUCCAAUUACGCAACGUUCAAUUAUAUUUUCCCGUCGUACACAGCGCGCAAUUGGUUGACAAAUUUUCGCGCUCGGAUCCGGUGCAACUAAUUGGCGGCUGCGAUAAUUUGCAUAGUACCCGUUAAUUCUCGUUUAUUCUUUGCGAACAAGUUCUUAAACUCGAUUUCGCCCAUUUUCACUUGAGGCGAACGUUCACGCGGUGUAACCGCGUGAAAACUCUAUACAUAAAUUUAAAAUAUGUAUAUAUAUAAAUGUAAUGCUCGGCGAAACAAGGGCGAUCACGUAUGUAUGUAUAAAAAAAAGCGAUAAGGUUGACAAGGAUGACAAGGUGCCAUGAUACAUCCGCGGCGAUAUUUCGUUGCAUUACUAGCAGAAGCAAAGUUACAAAGUUGCAAAUUUGCCACAUUUUGCAAAACUGCACCCAUGUUCUCGCAUUCUUGUUUCUCUCUCUCUCUCUCUCUUUCUUUUAUAAUAACUCUAUAUUACUGAGAGUUCAGAGAGAAUUAUUCAUCUUUAAUAAUAGCCCGAAGCAUUCUCGGAAAAAAAACUUGUUUCUCCUGGUAGUAAUUCGCGCAGUCGAGUUGCAAUGUAUUCUCAAACCAAGUAAAAAGUUCAGAAGAUUGUAUGUUGGGCGUAUAUACAUGUGUAUGCUCCAAAGUCCACAGAGCAAUUCCUCUUCUUUGUUUGCUCUAAAUUAUUUUCUAAAAUUUUUUAAUAACAUGCUCCAGUACUCCCUUACAUAUAAUAAUCUUUUCAUUAUGUGUAUCAUCUAAAAGAUAGCAGCGAUAUCACAAGAGGGUGAACAUGGAAUCCUAUACGCCGCUACUGUAUAAUUACCACCAGGAAUUAAACGGAACUCCGCCAAGAGGAAAACAUACAAAGCAGUUUUCCGCGCAACGUAUAAUUUGCGCGCAACCACACGAGCAUAAUUACAUAUUUCUUUCAUCGAACGACAGUGCUCUUGCAAAUCAUUCGCGGCUAUUAAUGCCAAGUCCUUCUCUCAUUCCAUGCCCACCACGGGAAUAAAGUGGGAAUACCCAGUGGCACCAGUUUCGCGAAUACCGUUAAGCGGUCAUUUCCACUGCUCCGAGCAUCCGAGUGGCAGCCACCGUGUUAUUAGAAAUUCGGGAAGAAUUGCCUCACGUCUAAUAACCCCUCCCCGAGAAUGGUUCUCCAGAGGGAACCAGCUCGCUCGCUGCGAUUCGAAAACGCACAGCACGCCUCGUUGAUUCUCACGAACCGCUCGAGAGUGAUUCCGCUCUCUUUCUCUCUCUUUUUUCUUCGAGAGCUUUUUGCUACCCAUAAUAGACUUGCGAAUCCGUGGAUUUUCGUUCAUUCCCCGUGCCCCGUUCCGAGACAAACGAAACGGACGAAACGGGCGCGGGUAUAAAGGAAGAAACGAUCACAGUGGGGCACGCUCUAAUCACGGAGAAGGUCUAAUCGCGGUGGACCCGCGGGCAUGCAAUAGCAACGGGGCGAACGGAGGAAGGACGGAAGGAAGGAUAGAAGGGGGUGGUGGCCGCUGCAACGGCAGCAACAGGUAUCGGCCCGCGCAACGACCAUGGUAUCGAUGUCUCGGGGAUACCAGACCGGCCGACGAAAACGGCAUAGACGUAUAUUUUGACGACUGAAAAUCGCCGGCUACCCGUACAAGAGCCCCUGGGUGCCCCCCGGGUGUCGAUCGAGCGCCGCGCUCUUGCCGGCGCGACAUGCUCCGACCUCGACCGUUUCGUUUUCGUUUAAAGAUCGAGAUUAACGGCAACUCCAGAGAGGGGCUCUCUAUUAUUUCCUAGGAGAUUGACCGCGAGUAUAACCGCACGUUACGCUCGCCAGCUUCGUCGAUCUCGCUUUCGGUUUCGUUUCCGAUGCUCGCAGGUGCAUCCGAAAAUGUGGAUCGUUUCGACCGGCAUGCAUAGACUGACUGGCUUGUAUACGCGUCGGAUUCAAAUUACAAUCUAGAGCGACGCGGAACCGCGAAUUUUCUGUCGAUUCGCCAGAUGGUAAUGAGACGAAAUUAACGAGCCGUGAGUCUCGGCCAAGCGGCUUUUUUCGGUAGCUCUCUUUGGAGGAAUUCCGUGUCACUACCCCUCCUCCACCCUUAUGCGCUCUAACCGUCUCUCUAUUCGUCUACUAAUUUUACGGUGUGACUAUUAAGCAUGAUCCGCAGCACGCAUAUCUGACGAUCGACUCGCACACUCCGUUUUUUCUCGUCUGGGAUAUCGCGCGGUGCGCCAUAAUAACGCAAAUGGCAGGUUCCUCGUUUCAAACAGUCUCGACGUUAAAGUCAGGAUGCACAGGCGGCCACAUUCCAGAUGGAAAUCGCCGUUCCGGUGUUUCUCGUUUGUCAUGCUUCCUGUCUCGGUGCGCGAGUGCGUUAAGUGCACGUUAAGAACUUGGUAUUCUUCUGCAUUAUGUGGGAAUCCCCUCGAAUUAUGGACAAAGUAAAUUUUUAAUUCUCUCCCCCGUCACAACGCGAUACAUAUAAUUGUGGAUACACCAUCUUUGUUCGCGUCAAGUCGAGAUUAUAACGGAUUGUGAAGUGGUGAAUACAUAGGAGUAGAUGAAUGGAUGAUAGUUUAUGAAAUUAUAAUUUAAACCCACGAUGCAGCACUCUUGUGGCCUUUUGCUCCGAUCUACUAAAAUUAUUUUCAUGUACCGUAUAUAUUUAACGAGCAUUUAUGUAAUUCGAAACCGGAUUUCUCGCAUUUCUCAUUAAACGUGAGUUCUAAGCGCCGUUACAAUGUACAGUUAUUUAUCUUUAGCCAGACGUGUUCUUCUCAGAGAUAACAUCCGUAUAAAGAACGAAUUUUUCCAGGCAAGGGCAAUAAAUACCUCCUCAUCGCAAUCUCAUUCCCUUAGCUAUUAUGUCCAGUACCUUUGUUUCGGGUUGACUCUUUAGUAAGGUCAAUUAACCGUCGAUAGAUUUAAUUUGAUGCUAGAUUUUGUUGCAGUAAAAUCUAACGGUGCAUCCAUAUGAACGGAAAAAGCGAUAGAGAGAAGGUACGAAGAGAGCGAGAGCCGCAGCAUCAUGACGAAAGUAUGGAUUUGCGCCACAUCGAGGACAGGUCGCCGAUUUGCGGCGAUCCGCAUCGAUGAACGUUUGCAAGAAUAUGCGAGAAUUCGCUGCUACUUUCCUUCCUCGUUCCAAAGAGUUAUACGAUGAUUACAUGAAUGAUCUCGGAACCAAUCGCCGUUUCUGGAUCAACGAGUUUGCAAGGGAAUUUUCUUCGCCCUCUUCGUAAAAGAUUUAUUGCACUUUCUUCGCGAUCACUCGAAGAUUAUACAAAUAAGUAUUAAUUAUAAAAUAAAUGCUGUCUUAUAUAUUAAAAUAUUAAUUGAUCUCUAAAUUUCAUCUAAUUAUGAAGGAUAAGAAUUUAUUAGAAUACAAUCAGGUAAAAAUAUUUGAGAAAGAUAUAUUCACAGAUCAUAUAUAAAACUGAAAUUAUUACCGUAUGAUUUACGCUAAUAUUUACACUCUUCGAUAAAAGACACAGUUAAAGAUGUGAAAUACAUUCGUUUCGUUCUGAUAAGUCCGUCACAUCUUCGAUAUUAAACCGGAAGAUAUUACACAUCUAAUAUUAUCCGUUCCAUUUCACCUAGAAGACGUGUCUACGUUGAUAAAUGAGAGUUAUAAGUACGAUCGUAUAUCAGCAUUCGGAAAUUUUAUAUGAUAUCGCUGACGUCGUGUCUAUUUUCUUAUUAUGAGCUCGUGAAAGGAUUUAGAACGGAAAAGAUUUAUCCUCUUCCGCUUAUUCUUGAAAGCUUGUAUUCGUAUCGAUCUCUUUUUACAAAUAAUACAAAUCUCGCAAAUGUAACGUUACCAUGCAAAUCGUACAUGUAAAUUUGUAAAAUAAAAUUAAUUAAUUUCUUAUUAA
rnacentral:lncRNA from 1 species